GUGAGUUUUGGUCCCCGCGCGUGCGCAGGGGAGGGGCGGGAGGCCUGUACGGCGGCCGAGCGGGGCCGGCCCGCCCUCGCCUUUUGUCCGGCGGGAGCGCGGGACACCGAGGGGGGUUCAUCCCGUUGCCGGGAGAAAUGGGGUCCAAGCAGAUCGCCCAGGAGACGUUUGAUGAUGCAGUGCAGGAAAACAUCACCGA